UACGAAGGGGGCGAGCGUUGUUCGGAAUUACUGGGCGUAAAGGGCGCGCAGGCGGCCUUAGAAGUCAGAUGUGAAAGCCCCGGGCUCAACCUGGGAAUGGCAUUUGAUACUCUGAGGCUGGAGUACGGGAGAGGAGAGUGGAAUUCCCAGUGUAGAGGUGAAAUUCGUAGAUAUUGGGAAGAACGCCGGUGGCGAAGGCGGCUCUCUGGACCGUAACUGACGCUGAGGCGCGAAAGCGUGGGGAGCAAACAGG
rnacentral:rRNA from 1 species